rnacentral:rRNA from 1 species
GUCCAGACUCCUACGGGAGGCAGCAGUGGGGAAUAUUGCACAAUGGGGGAAACCCUGAUGCAGCGACGCCGCGUGAGCGAUGAAGUCUUUCGGUAUGUAAAGCUCUAUCAGCAGGGAAGAAGAUGACGGUACCUGACUAAGAAGCCCCGGCUAACUACGUGCCAGCAGCCGCGGUAAUACGUAGGGGGCAAGCGUUAUCCGGAUUUACUGGGUGUAAAGGGAGCGUAAACGGCGAUGCAAGUCAGAUGUGAAAGCCCGGGGCUCAAACCCGGGACUGCAUUUGGAACUGUGUGGCUGGAGUGUCGGAGAGGCAGGCGGAAUUCCUAGUGUAGCGGUGAAAUGCGUAGAUAUUAGGAGGAACACCAGUGGCGAAGGCGGCCUGCUGGACAGUAACUGACGCUGAGGCGCGAAAGCGUGGGGAGCAAACAGGAUUAGAUACCCCCGUAA